GACGAACGCUGGCGGCGUGCCUAAUACAUGCAAGUCGAGCGAAGUUUUUCUGGUGCUUGCACUAGAAAAACUUAGCGGCGAACGGGUGAGUAACACGUAAAGAACCUGCCUCAUAGACUGGGACAACUAUUGGAAACGAUAGCUAAUACCGGAUAACAGUAUUUCUCGCAUGGGAGAUAUUUAAAAGUUGGUUAUGCUAACACUAUGAGAUGGCUUUGCUGUGCAUUAGCUAGUUGGUGGGGUAAAGGCCCACCAAGGCGACGAUGCAUAGCCGACCUGAGAGGGUGAUCGGCCACACUGGGACUGAGACACGGCCCAGACUCCUACGGGAGGCAGCAGUAGGGAAUCUUCCGCAAUGGGCGAAAGCCUGACGGAGCAACGCCGCGUGAGUGAAGAAGGAUUUCGGUUCGUAAAGCUCUGUUGUUAGGGAAGAAUGGAUAUGUAGUAACUAUACAUGUAAGAGACGGUACCUAACCAGAAAGCCACGGCUAACUACGUG
rnacentral:rRNA from 1 species